GGCAGGUGUUGGGGGACCAUUUCGUCUUGGGUCGGGUGGAGUAGACUUCUCCUCCGGGUUGGGGAGGGUUGCUGCUCCCGUCUGUAAUCGCAAAAGUGUAAGUGUAAAAACGCACAAAUUGAUAAUCGGAGUGGCUGAGAGUUUGUUUUAGGGCAGUGAUCUGCCCAGAAGUGCCCGUCACCGACCACCGCUGAACGUUUCGUAACGGAAAACUCCCGACUCAAAAACCUGAAGAUCGUAACCACUGAGAAGAACCUGAUUCUUGCUGUGAGUAGCGGACAGCAGAAGGAUGGAAUGGAUUAGUAGAAGUUUGUAGAAAACAAACUUCGGGAGUGGAAGGAGUGCAAGGUGCUGCUGGGUUCCUUUGUUUCAACAGGUAUGAGAACGCGGAUCUGAAUGUAAAUUUAAAGCCCAGCUCUUUCUAUGGCAAAGGGGGAGACAUGAGACCCGUGGACCAAGUUGGGGGAAAGGAAUGGUAGUCUGUCAGCCCACCCUUCCUGUGGCAUUUAUCUGGUGGGGGUCCUGAGGGCAUAGGCCAGCAAUUAAAGUACUAUGUAAGUCAAUACUCCUCCAAAACUUUACCUUUCCAUACAUUGUUGGCCAUUUCCAUGCUUUGCAGACAUGCUGGGACCACAUACCAUGUUUAAUACAUAGUAACCCCCAGUCUCUGAGUCUGGGAGACACUCAGCUCAUUUUCCCCUCUAAAGCAAUAGUCUGGCAGCUCAGCUGGUUUCUAACAUUACUUCAACACUUUGUGCCACUGUUAAAAUUUUUCAGUGCAUUCAGGUAUUGGAAGCUGGCGGCAAGGUUUGAAAUUUGCAGUCUAAAGCUCCCUGACCCCUGUGUUUUCUGUCCCAUUACACAAAAGAAGUACAGUGGGACGAGUGGACUUGGGUGAGUUGAUCAUGACAAAAAGGGCUAAUGUUAAUUGGGUUACAUUUAAUGCUCCUGUGUAAAUAAAUGCUCUCUCUUCCCUGGUCAUAGUCUCUGUCAAUACAGCAGCCAAACCACAAGGCUCGAUUGGUAAGCAUUCCCCAUAUUUGGUGCUGGUUUCCCCAGAUUGCUAUCUGAUGUGUUUCUUUCAAACAGGUAGAUGCCCUGUGUCUGAACUUCAUUUCACCGUUGCUGUCAGUUCUCUGGCAAAGUAUGCAGUGACUGGGUCAGGAUUCUCUUUUGAUGAGUAAUGAGAUUUCAUGUCAAUUUCGGAUUGAAGCUUUCAGAACAUGAGAAUACCAAACCUCAGAGUGGGCCAUCUUCUAAACACAGUUUACACUUUUGGAGUUGUUGCUCACUUUGGAAUGUGGUCUUCCCCUGCAGCCACAUAACACUAAGCCUUAGAAAUUGUACUUAUUAUUGUCAUCUGUAGAGUAAAUGCCUGCUUGCUACUAUAUAACUUCCCUCUUGGGUUGUUUGGAGUCAGACCUCAGUUCAAACCUGAUUCCAGCAGUAACUGUCUAUCCUUAGUUCUUAACUAACUCUUUGAGCCUGAAUUUCCUUAUCUGCAAAACAGGAACAUACUUUGCUAUCAGGGCUGUUGUGAGAAUUAAGUGUGAUAAUCUUUGUAAUGCACCCAGUACACAGGAGGUACUCAAGGAAUCAGUCCCUCAUUUCCUGAAUGCACAUACAGGAGCAGGACAUCAUAGUGCUUAGUUUAGCUUCCUCCCUACCCCCUCCCUUUAUUUUCUUUCCUUUCUCAGGUACAGCAAAUUCCUCAUAGGCUAUAGUGCCUUCUCUUUAGAAACCACACCUUUGUAAUCUUGCUGUGAAGCAAGAGGUGGCCCAGGGACCCGUGAUUUUUCCUUGUUCUGCUCAAGGUUCUGUUCUGGCAAAAUUGGUCAUCUUACACCGAGGCUGACGUGACUCAGCACCCAGUGGGACAUUCUAGGGUUUGUCAAGCUGUCAAAUCCUAGCUGGAGGGUGCCUAACCUGCAGUCCUAGAAAGUUCUCCUCUCUUUCUACGCCUGUAACAAGUUAUUUCUGGGCUGUGAUUAAUUCAUUUAAGGUUAGGUGAAAACAUUGAUGAUGUGAAAGAGAAAACGCCAUGUAUAAAUAUGCACUAUCCUAAAGUGUUCUCACAGAGACUUUAACUUUUAGUCUCAAAAGAUACCUCUGGCUCCUCUAUUUUUAUAUUAGCACAUGUUUUAUUCUGGUAGGAUCAUGGAACCUAAAGUUCACCCACCCCAAGUCAAAAAAAUUCACAUUUCUUUUUGAUUAGAAACUAAAGUGUCUAGCUGUUGCAUAGCACAUUGGCAUUUCAAACCUUUUUGAUUUCUCCCUGUAAUUGGUUAAAUUGCUGUAAAGCCCGGACAGUGGGGGUCAUUGUUAUUUUUCAUUAUGUGAAAAACUGAAUCUGGAGGUAUUUAGAAAAAACUUUACCCAAAACCACUUACUGGAGCUGUGCCGGCCAAGUUCCUACACCAAGUAACGUGACGGAGAUCUUAACUUAUUUGCUGGUCCAAAAAAGGUAUGAAACUUAACUAUACCUCUGCCACCUCCUCCCCCUUCCACACACACUUGGACGCACUGCCCAUUGCCGUCAUCUUUGGUUUCUGGGGGAGGUGUGGGGAAGGCUAAAUGAAUGGUGUAGUAAAUAAUUUCCCUAAGUAUUGGCAUUUUAAAAGUGGUCACGAGGCAGAGGAAUCCCAAAGGGUUAAUAUCUAUUUGGAAGGAUAUCCCCAGACUUCAGAAACCUAGCAGAAGUGACAGGGACCUUAUACAGAACUUAAGGUAUAGCCUGGCUUCUUGAAUCCUUAAGAGUGCAGUCCUUUGCCCUUUGACUCAUCUGGGGUCUUCUCUCUGAAUAGUUACUAAUUAUUUGGAAUUUUAAUUGGCUAUAAAUUGUCAGUUUGAUUUUUCUACUGCAAACUCAUGUUUGGAUUAAAUGUGUUUCCAUACUUCUUAUUUGUAUGGAUACUGGAGAGAGAGUGAAUUAUAAUGGGAACUUAAGCACAAGCCUAUAUGGAUUAUGGAUCUUUUAUGCAGGAAAAAUCAAUUUUCUUAGGACAUGAAAAAGCACCAUGUACACAAAGGUUAAUGGGCUCAAAUUUUAUUUUCUUUGAAAAUAACUUCAAAUUGUAAUUAUGAUAUGUGCUCACAAAGUAGGUCUAGAGACUAUAAAAAGUGCUAUGCUAUAAAUGUUUAACAAAUGUCUCUCACAAAGAAGGGAAAACAUCCUGAUAUAUAACAUUUGCCAAUUUCUAAGGUAAAAUUACUGCCAUCUCAUGGCUAAUUUUAAACAACAGAUGUGACAUCACUGAAUGCAAAUUUAGGAAGAGAUGUGCACGAUCAGCUCAUACACUGAAUGAGUUUCAAAAUCACUGGCAAUCUGAUUACGUAGAGUUAGGACCGCUGCUAACAUUUCUGUGUUUUUCCAACUAGUCUUUCUAUGAAAAUAUCCAUAUUGGUUCUAAUGAAGAAUCUUGUCAUUGGUUUUUGAUCCAGUUUCACUGAUUCCAUCUGGGCUAAGUGCCUACCUGUCUCAAGAUCCUUAUGGAGACUGGUCCUGAGCCAACAUCCGUGCCCAUCCUCCUUUACUUUAUACACGGGACUCCUGCCACAGCAUGGCUUGACAAGCGGUGCCAUGUCCGCACUCGGGAUCCGAACCAGCGAACCCCGGGCCGCCGAAGUGGAAUGUGCGAACUUAACCACUGCAUGACCAGACCAGCCCCUGAUGUCUUAGAAUAUUAAAGCUCUUACUCCUCAAGAAAAGCUGGGAGUCAAAGUAGUUUUCCAGUUUGAUGUCUUCUGGGAGAGAUCACGUGUACAUGUCCCCCUCCUCAGUGUGACUAAAUGGAUCAGAGGCUUUCCUCCUCUACAGGACACUGGCCAGAAGACUACUGGAGAGUUUGAACAGGGGACCCUGCUGUCUCCCCUGUGACAUCGGCCCAGAACAAGUCCAGCUGCUGAUUGCCUGGCGGGACCCAAAAGUGCGAGUGUCACAGAAAGCAUUGAGGACUAGGCCUACAGCUCUCCCCUGUGAUGAGGCGCUGAGGGUUGGCAGCCCUUUGGCCCUUGAGGAAGAUGAGAAAGUGCGUGACUCAGAAUGUCAGAACAGGCAGUGCCCUUUGAAUCACAACAUCGACUUUGCCUUCUUACAAACAGGGCCGCUGAGCACAAGAGCAAGCAAGUGCCUUCCUCACUGUCAUAGAGCGUCUCGUGAGUGGCAGAGUCAAGACAACAACCCAGGUCCCUGGACUCCCAGGUUGGUGCUGUGCUCUUUCCACUCUCUCCUGCUGCCCUCUCAGACUCAGCAACCAAAUGUGUGUCUGGAAGUGCACUGCUUCGUAUGUCAGCCAGACUGACCUUUACGUUCCCAGAAUCAUCAACCCUUUGUGGAAACCAUGGAAAGACGGUGCUGGAAAAAUAAUGACAAGCAUACCACGCUGUGGAGACAACCAGAAGCCCUGCUCAGACUGUGGAGUCCUCCUCACCUUCCAAGUACUGAAUCCCAAAUAUAUAUACAAGCAGCAACUCAGGUGGGCCUAAGAAAUAAGGAGGUGGAAAACCAGACGUCUGACAAUUCAGCCAGUUCUCUUUCUCUUUUGCCUCCCACCCCGAUCUCCAAACUGGGGCUGAUUUCUACAGUAUCAAGACAUUCGUUACUCAGUUCCUGAGAGGAACCAGCUCCUAGGAGGUGGCCCAGCCCAGGACUGCUAGAGGCCUUGGGACUUUCUGCCAAGGCCCAAUCUGGCCUCAGGAGAACACGACUCUUGGGACUCACACAGGAAACAUUCCCUCUUUCCCUCUUCUUAGCACCUCUUCACCUAACAAGGUUCCUCUGAGACUUGUGGGAUCCCCUGCUUUCCCUAAAGACAGUUUUCUUCCACUGUUAGGGGCCCUGAUUUAUGAAAUGAAUCAUGAGAGAUUCAUUUCUUUGUUUAUCUUACAGCAUGAGGGGUGGAGGAAAGACUUGUAAAGGCAAAUAUCCUCCAGUGAGCUGGAGUAUGUAUUCACACUAGAAUGUUAGUGACAUAUUAGAGCUCAGAAGCUGGACUUUACAGCUCCAUCCUGUCCCUUCUUUUGCUCUGCCACUACCAACUUGACUGCCCCUUUCUCUGAGAGUUGG
rnacentral:lncRNA from 1 species